CCCCAAGCUGUCGGCUAUAGGUGCGUCCUGCUGGCGGGGAUGAAACCGCCGAUUUGCCGCCGAUUACAUCACUCCCAUUUCUUGCGAGAUUUCUUGACUGCUUCAUUUUCUCUGGCGGUUGCCUGGGUCUAAAGGACCGUGGUCGUCCGGCGGCAAGACGCUUUUAAAUACAAGGCUUUUCUCAAAAUCGACCGGCCAUGUUGGUUUGGACACACAUUCGCAUCAGUUCGUCGCUCAAUCGCGAGUAACAGCCUGCAGUUUGCUAGCUAGCAAAGUCAUCGACUACCAUCGUUUAAAUACCUUGGCCAGAGCAUAACCGGUUAUCUUCACCCAAGAGACCUACUGUUGGUCAAUCGUUUUGGUUUUAAAGAACCAGGUUUCUCCCCAGUAAUCCAGACUCCACUUCACAGAGCCAAGAGUUUGAGUACAACUCGUCAAGUACUAAGCUUUACAACGCCAGCAGCAAAUUUACCCUGGCAGCAUAUGGGUGAAAACGCUGGAGGAGAAAGUCAUCGCUUUGUUAUUGGCCCUUGGACGCCCCUGGCAUCUCGUGUACAGCACAAAGUUUUCACUUAUGAAGGUAUAUUCUAGGCCUAUGUCUUAUUGUCCAGUGUUUUAACAGUAUUGAAAAUAUUGCUUUUGUUUUUUUAUUUUAUGUAGAUUUCCAGUGACUCCAGAAUGAAAACCAAGCUCUGAGGGAGGAGAACCAAGCCCUGAGGGAAUGCAAUGCACAAGGAGCUUCGGGUUGACAGCGGCUCACUGGUGAAGCAAGUAGGGACAAUGUUGAAGACGUUUGCUCUCACUGGGCAAUCAGGUGCGUUACCUGAAAGGAGCAUCUGACCGUGAAGGCAGAAAAAGCCGCACAGCUGAGAAGGACCUACAGCCGACCCCUUAAACCUUGGCUGACUACUGACACCCCAGCAUCACUGAACUGGAACACUUUCUUUAUCCUGCAGUCAGUAACAUCAAGAAGCCAGAAGUGCCAGACUACACUCACCAAAUCCACCCUGUUUUUUUUGUAUUUUAACUUUAGUAUUGGCUUAUUUCAUUCCGUCUUAACAAUUCUAUUAUAGUUUCUAAAUCCUAUUUCUUACCUGUUACUUGAUAUUGCACAUUAACUAGUACCAAAAUUCUACUUUCAUUUCAUCAGUGUGCUUAACUGUUAUUCUAUUAAUAAUAGCUUGGAAAUAUUAUUUACUACCUCUUAUACUUGAUAUUGCACAUUACCUGGUACCAAAUAUUCUACUUACUGUUUUUAACAUCAGCAUUUUUCAUUCCAUCACAGUGCUUAACUGUUAUUCUAUUGUUAAAUAUAGCUUGUAAAUCCUUGUGCCACAGGUCAGCAUUGCAGUUAUAAUGGUCUGUUCUACUACUGUUUUUACCUCUGUAUUUUUAUAUAAAUAUAUAUGUCAAGUUUUGUUUAUCACAGAUACAAGAGACACAGAUCUUAUUGCAGCACGGUGUAAAUCUUGUGCUCCAGGUCAGCAGUGCCAUUAAAACGGUCUAUUCUACUCUAGAGCUUUACUCUAAAUUAUUACCACUUUUCCUAUUGUAAGAAAUGGCUUGAAAAUGUGAUGUUAUACCUUGAUUUAUUUGGUAUCCUGCACAUUCUUUGGUACCAAAUAUCCUCAUUACUUAUGUUUACUGGUAAUUAUUUUCAUCCCAGAGCUGACCUCUUUAUAUUAUUAACAAUUAUUGUGUUUGUGUUAUAAUUUGCUUGUAUGGC
ensembl:lncRNA